CAAAAAACGGAACCCUUAUGGAUUCGUCAUGUCUGUCUGUCUGUGCGUCUGUCUGUCCCCACUUUUCUCCGAAACUAUAAGAACUAUACUGUUGAAACGUGGUAAGUAGAUGUAUUCUGUGAACCGCAUUAAGAUUUUCACACAAAAAUAGAAAAAAAAACAAUAAAUUUUUGGGGUUCCCCAUACUUCGAACUGAAACCCAAAAAAUUUUUUUUUCAUCAAACCCAUACGUGUGGGGUAUCUAUGGAUAGGUCUUCAAAAAUGAUAUUGAGGUUUCUAAUAUCAUUUUUUUCUAAACUGAAUAGUUUGCGCGAGAGACACUUCCAAAAUGGUAAAAUGUGUGUCCCCCCCCCUGUAACUUCUAAAAUAAGAGAAUGAUAAAACUAAAAAAAAUAUAUGAUGUACAUUACCAUAUAAACUUCCACCGAAAAUUGGUUUGAACGAGAUCUAGUAAGUAGUUUUUUUUUUAUACGUCAUAAAA